rnacentral:rRNA from 1 species
UACGAGGGGGGCAAGCGUUGUCCGGAUUUAUUGGGCGUAAAGAGCGUGUAGGCGGCCAGGGAGGUCCGUUGUGAAAACUCGAGGCUCAACCUCGAGACGCCGAUGGAAACCCCCUGGCUAGAGUCCGGAAGAGGAGAGUGGAAUUCCUGGUGUAGCGGUGAAAUGCGCAGAUAUCAGGAAGAACACCCGCGGCUAAGGCGGCUCUCUAGUACGGUACUGACGCUGAGACGCGAAAGCGUGGGGAGCGAACAGG